UACGUAGGGGGCUAGCGUUGUCCGGAUUUAUUGGGCGUAAAGAGCGUGUAGGCGGCCAAGUAGGUCCGGUGUGAAAACUCGAGGCUUAACCUCGAGAUGUCAUCGGAAACCAUUUGGCUAGAGUCCGGAAGAGGAAAGUGGAAUUCCUGGUGUAGCGGUGAAAUUCGUAGAUAUUAGGAAGAACACCAGUGGCGAAGGCGGCUCACUGGUCCGGUACUGACGCUGAGGUGCGAAAGCGUGGGGAGCAAACAGG
rnacentral:rRNA from 1 species